CCUACGGGUGGCAGCAGUGGGGAAUAUUGGACAAUGGGCGCAAGCCUGAUCCAGCCAUGCCGCGUGAGUGAUGAAGGCCUUAGGGUUGUAAAGCUCUUUCGGCGGGGAAGAUAAUGACGGUACCCGCAGAAGAAGCCCCGGCUAACUUCGUGCCAGCAGCCGCGGUAAUACGAAGGGGGUUAGCGUUGCUCGGAAUCACUGGGCGUAAAGCGCACGUAGGCGGGUUGCUAAGUCAGGGGUGAAAUCCUGGAGCUCAACUCCAGAAGUGCCUUUGAUACUGGCGACCUUGAGUCCGGGAGAGGUGAGUGGAACUGCGAGUGUAGAGGUGAAAUUCGUAGAUAUUCGCAAGAACACCAGUGGCGAAGGCGGCUCACUGGCCCGGUACUGACGCUGAGGUGCGAAAGCGUGGGGAGCAAACAGGAUUAGAUACCCCGGUAGUCC
rnacentral:rRNA from 1 species